UGCUCUGGGUUCUCUUCAUCCCUAAUAAAUCUUCGCUCCUUUACUAAAGAUUUCGUGGAGAGGACCAAGUAAAGAGUCUCAAAGAAUUUCUUUUGCACAGCCUGUUUCAGUACAGGCU